UAUCAAGACAAAGUUUCAGGAUGGAGAUGCCAAAAGGAUAUGGAUUGAUUAUAUUUUGGCUUCAUCUUGGCUGGGCGAAUGGAGAAAACCAAGUGGAGCAGAGUCCUCGUUCACUGGAACUCCAGGAGGAAGGUGCCAGCUUCAUGAGUUGCACUUACUCAGUCAGUGGUUUUAAUAAUUUGCAGUGGUACAGGCAAGAUUCGGGGAAGGGUCCCCAGCACCUAUUCUCCAUGUAUUCACCUGGAGACGGGAAAUCGAAAGGCAGAGUAAGAGCUACGUUACAGAAGAAUGGAAGCAGCCUGCACAUCACAGCCUUGCAGCUUGAAGACUCAGCCACCUACUUCUGCGCUGUAGCCCCACAGUGCUCCCAGGCACCUGGGACCUGGACUUAAACCUGCAGCUGGGCAGGAGAAGCACAACAGAAGCA